rnacentral:misc_RNA from 1 species
AAGUCGUAACAAGGUUUCCGUAGGUGAACCUGCGGAAGGAUCAUUAUCGAGUUUUUGUCAAGUUGUAGCUGACCUCUUACCGGAGGUAUGUGCACGCUUGACUUAUCCAACUCUUCAACCCUUUGUGCACUUUUUGUAAGGAGUGGCGAACGUCGGCUUCUUCAGUCGACUGCAGUCUCCUUCUUACGUCUUUUCAUCACAAACGUCUCAGUCACAGAAUGUCAUUACUUUGCGGAUAACGCGAUGUUAAAUACAACUUUCAGCAACGGAUCUCUUGGCUCUC